rnacentral:rRNA from 1 species
GGACGAACGCUGGCGGCGUGCCUAAUACAUGCAAGUAGAACGCUGAAGACUUUAGCUUGCAAAGUUGGAAGAGUUGCGAACGGGUGAGUAACGCGUAGGUAACCUGCCUACUAGCGGGGGAUAACUAUUGGAAACGAUAGCUAAUACCGCAUAACAGCAUUUAACACAUGUUAGAUGCUUGAAAGGAGCAAUUGCUUCACUAGUAGAUGGACCUGCGUUGUAUUAGCUAGUUGGUGAGGUAACGGCUCACCAAGGCGACGAUACAUAGCCGACCUGAGAGGGUGAUCGGCCACACUGGGACUGAGACACGGCCCAGACUCCUACGGGAGGCAGCAGUAGGGAAUCUUCGGCAAUGGGGGCAACCCUGACCGAGCAACGCCGCGUGAAGUGAAGAAGGUUUUCGGAUCGUAAAGCCCUGUUGUAAGAGAAGAACGUGUGUGAGAGUGGAAAGUUCACACAGUGACGGUAACUUACCAGAAAGGGACGGCUAACUACGUGCCAGCAGCCGC